AUACGUAGGAUGCGAGCGUUAUCCGGAUUUAUUGGGUUUAAAGGGUGCGUAGGCUGUGCGUUAAGUCAGGGGUGAAAUGCCGUCGCUCAACGACGGAGCUGCCCUUGAUACUGGCGUGCUGGAGUACGGAUGCCGUUGGAGGAAUGAGUGGUGUAGCGGUGAAAUGCUUAGAUAUCACUCAGAACACCGAUUGCGAAGGCAUCGGACGAAUCCGUCAAUGACGCUGAGGCACGAAAGCGUGGGGAUAGAACAGGAUUAGAUACCCUGGUAUUCCACGCCGUAAACGAUGAUGACUAACCGUCGGCGAUAGACAGCCGGUGGCCAAGCGAAAGCGAUAAGUCAUCCACCUGGGGAGUACGUCGGCAACGAUGAAACUCAAAUGAAUUGGCGGG
rnacentral:rRNA from 1 species